UACAGAGGGGGCAAGCGUUGUUCGGAAUUACUGGGCGUAAAGGGCGCGUAGGCGGCCGCCUAAGUCAGACGUGAAAUCCCUCGGCUCAACCGGGGAGCUGCGUCUGAUACUGGGUGGCUUGAAUCCGGGAGAGGGAUGCGGAAUUCCAGGUGUAGCGGUGAAAUGCGUAGAUAUCUGGAGGAACACCGGUGGCGAAGGCGGCAUCCUGGACCGGCAUUGACGCUGAGGCGCGAAAGCCAGGGGAGCAAACAGG
rnacentral:rRNA from 1 species